rnacentral:tRNA from 1 species
GGGGAUUUAGCUCAGUGGCAUAAGCACCUGCCUUGUGAGCAGGCAGUCUGAGUUCAACCCCCG